AUUGCUGUGUUUUUACCCUUGAGACUUCAGUGACCUCUGCCAUCGCACCUUUUGCGAUAUGAGGCAUCGCAGGGGCAGGAACAAAGCGGGAGCCAGGUGAGACUGCUGGAGAGACAAAGGGUUCCCUCUGUGCCACAGGACUCCUCGCACUGAAGUGGAUAUUGCCAUUUGCUGUGAGUGCCUGGUCAUUACCAUUCCUUGUCCUUUAUUACGUGGAGGGGUCUCGUAGGGCUCUCAUGAACUUCCUCAGAAGUGUGUCCCAGCUUCCCUACGGCACUGCUUGAAUGGAGCGUGACAGCACUUGUCAGCAGAGCAGUUGUGGAGACACGCUGAAGAGCUCUAAUGCACUUUUUAAUCCUGCUUCAUCAACCUCCCCGC
ensembl:lncRNA